ACAGGCAAAAUUGUGGGAUGCUUGGGGUCCUCGUAGCACCUGUUAGCGGUUUGGCAAGCUGUUUUGCAAGGCUAUCGAUGGCUGCUUCUUCGAGCGCUUUUCUUUUGUCUUCUUCAAAGAGCUGGAGAGGUGGGUGCAGGAGGGCAGACAGAGCAAGAGACAUGGAACAUUGUGUGAAGUGCCGCACCUUGGAGUGGCAUUGUCUGUCUGGGUCUGUUUUCUCUGAAAGGCCCCAUUGGCAGGCCUGAAGCCAGAGCAUUUCCUGUUGCUCUCUGCUGACAGCUGUGAUGAGUCUCCAGGGAACAUCAUGUCAUCAGUCCCCAUGCAACACAUUCAUGGCCAGGACUGCACACGACAGGACGUGCAGCAUGUUUUCUCCCUGGAGGGUUCAAAAUUGAAAAUAUGAGAUUAUAUGUUGCCAAAUCCUUCAUAUUUAUUUAGAAAAUGAGACAUUGUGCAGACAAUUACUGAUCUCUUCUGUCAUCAUGGGGAGUGACACUGAUCGAUGAUGGAAAUGUCAAAUUAAAAUGGCAUUUGUGUUGUGUUGCAUGAGAAUAUUAGUUACUUAGAGUGUAUGAGUGUGUGUAAGAGAGAAGUGAGAGUGUUUCAGAACAAGCUUAA